AUUGUAUUCCCUCUAUCCGAAAAUAUUGUCGAAGAAAUGAAUGUAUCUGCAUGUAUUUUAGUUUUAGAUCCAUCCAUUUUUAUCCAUUUCUGUGACAAAUAUUUCCGCACGGAGGGAGUAUUUG
rnacentral:pre_miRNA from 1 species